UACGGAGGGUGCAAGCGUUAUCCGGAUUUACUGGGUUUAAAGGGUGCGUAGGUGGGUUGGGUAGUCAGUGGUGAAAUACUUUCGCUUAACGAAGGAACUGCCAUUGAUACUCCCAAUCUUGAAUACAGUGGAGGUGGGCGGAAUGCGUCAUGUAGUGGUGAAAUACUUAGAUAUGACGCAGAACACCGAUUGCGAAGGCAGCUCACUAAGCCAUAACUGACGCUGAUGCACGAAAGCGUGGGGAGCAAACAGG
rnacentral:rRNA from 1 species